rnacentral:tRNA from 1 species
GCGUCCAUAGCUCAGCGGUAGAGCGACUGUCUUAUACACAGUUGGUCGGUGGUUCGAAUCCAUCUGGACGCA